GAUGAACGCUGGCGGCAUGCCUUACACAUGCAAGUCGAACGGCAGCACGGGUGCUUGCACCUGGUGGCGAGUGGCGAACGGGUGAGUAAUACAUCGGAACGUACCUUAUCGUGGGGGAUAACGCAGCGAAAGCUGUGCUAAUACCGCAUACGCCCUGAGGGGGAAAGCGGGGGAUCGCAAGACCUCGCGCGAUUAGAGCGGCCGAUGCCUGAUUAGCUUGUUGGUGGGGUGAAAGCCCACCAAGGCGACGAUCAGUAGCUGGUCUGAGAGGACGAUAAGGCACACUGGGACUGAGACACGGCCCAGACUCCUACGGGAGGCAGCAGUGGGGAAUUUUGGACAAUGGGGGCAACCCUGAUCCAGCAAUGCCGCGUGAGUGAAGAAGGCCUUCGGGUUGUAAAGCUCUUUUGUCAGGGAAGAAACACCGGCUCUAACACAGUCUGGGAAUGACGGUACCUGAAGAAUAAGCACCGGCUAACUACGUGCCAGCAGCCGCCGUAA
rnacentral:rRNA from 1 species